ACCAUGACGUAGAGGGUGCAGGCGAGGAGGAUGAAUGGGUAGCGGCCGAGAAGGAGUCGGCGAGGACGGCGCCGAGGAGAGGGAGCAUGCGCGCCGUCCCCGACCACGCGUUCGCCGCCGACGCGUUCGAUUGCCCCAGCGGCCCCGUCAGGUAGCUGAUCAGGUUCGCCGACACGCCGUAGUAGGAGAAGCUGCAGCCCAUCUCCAACACUGCAACAAUUCAUUAAUCAAUUAAUCUCUCAUGAAAUCUAAUCAAACUUUGCAAAUUAAGGAACAAAAUUAACCAAACCGAACAAACAUCGGUAUACGCAGUACACGCUCACUGGCGACGAACAGUGCGGAGCGCCAGCCGCCUGAGGUGGCGCGGUAGACCGGCCGCCCUCGGAAGUCGGACACGCCGGCGAGCGGCGGCUCCGGCGGCUGCGGCGGCG
rnacentral:sRNA from 1 species